GGAAUAGAGGCAUCUCCAAGUCUCAGCUGGCGUCUCGCUGGUUCAAGGAUCAAUGUAGUCUACAGUACUGGCACCAUUGUUUCCUUGCAGAGAAUACUUCAAUGAGAAGAUCCUGCCAUGGAAAAGACAACUGGGUGGACAAAGUGGAAAGGAAGGGAAAUAAUUCACACCAUGCAGCAGGACACCUUCAGCUGUGGGGUCUUUGUAAUGCAGAUGGCCAAGGAAGAUGCACAGAACUUCCCCAAAUCCCCUCCCAAAUUGAUAUAGAACCUUCACAAAACCACAUGGAGCAAGUGCGAAAAGAAAUGGCUGAGGAUAUACUAAAAAUGUCUGAUCAGUUUUAAAUGAGAACUUGUUCUCAACUGGCCUGCCUGGUUAAAUAAAAAAUUCAUUAAAAAAAACCUGGAUGUGGCUCAGAC